rnacentral:rRNA from 1 species
UAGGGAAUCUUCCACAAUGGACGCAAGUCUGAUGGAGCAACGCCGCGUGAGUGAAGAAGGUUUUCGGACCGUAAAGCUCUGUUGUUGGUGAAGAAGGAUAGAGGUAGUAACUGGCCUUUAUUUGACGGUAAUCAACCAGAAAGUCACGGCUAACUACGUGCCAGCAGCCGCGGUAAUACGUAGGUGGCAAGCGUUGUCCGGAUUUAUUGGGCGUAAAGCGAGCGCAGGCGGAAGAAUAAGUCUGAUGUGAAAGCCCUCGGCUUAACCGAGGAAUUGCAUCGGAAACUGUUUUUCUUGAGUGCAGAAGAGGAGAGUAGAACUCCAUGUGUAGCGGUGGAAUGCGUAGAUAUAUGGAAGAAUACCAGUGGCGAAGGCGGCUCUCUGGUCUGCAACUGACGCUGAGGCUCGAAAAGCAUGGGUAGCGAACAGGAUUAGAUACCCUGGUAGUCCAUGCCGUAAAACGAUGAGUGCUAAGUGUUGGGAGGCUUCCGCCUCUCAGUGCUGCAGCUAACGCAUUAAGCACUCCGCCUGGGGGAGUACGACCGCAAGGUUGAAAC